rnacentral:pre_miRNA from 1 species
UGUUAAAAAUUUCAUCUAUUUAUGCUAUUAAAAAUUAACGUGGUUGAUAGAAUAAUCAGAUAGUAACAUAUGGUAUGCCACGUGUACCUCAUGUUGAUGUACAAAAACCAGUUUUUAACAACAAAAAAUAGAUGAAAUUUUUAACA